rnacentral:rRNA from 1 species
UACGUAGGGUCCAGACGUUGUCCCGGAAUUACUGGACGUAAAGAGCUCGUAGGUGGUUUGUCGCGUUGUUCGUGAAAACUCACAGCUUAACUGUGGGCGUGCGGGCGAUACGGGCAGACUUGAGUUCGGUAGGGGAGACUGGAAUUCCUGGUGUAGCGGUGAAAUGCGCAGAUAUCAGGAGGAACACCGGUGGCGAAGGCGGGUCUCUGGGCCGAUACUGACGCUGAGGAGCGAAAGCGUGGGGAGCGAACAGG